rnacentral:tRNA from 1 species
UCUACUAAAGGAGAGCAGCCCUCCACUGGUCUUAGGCGCCAAACCCCU